ensembl:lncRNA
AAAGGGCAGGCCCCUGCAAAACACUCAGUGGUGUAUUACCUUCCAGUCACAGGCAUGUUGGGGGGAUGGGGACUCUGCAGAACGGAUCUGAGAUCUGAAGAUAAUUGGUCCACUGAGUGCAGAAGCACGACUGCUUGAUAUGAUUUCUGUGUGACUGCGUCUUCCUAAUGCUGGUCUGGGGGAUCAAGAAGACCCUUAGGGGAUCGAACUCGGGACCUUGCGCUUGCGACGCCGGUGCCGGAACCACUGAGCUAAAUGCCCGGGCCAUCACAUUCUAUCUGUACCAAGCAUUUGCUUGAACAUCAGCCUAUGUUCGUAGAAUUUCCGAUAUAUGCAUCCCACUUCUCAAAGCAGAAGCUAGAAGCUGCUCUCCUAGGAUCCUUUGUGGUCAGGCAUAGGCUUUUCCCUGGGCUUUUCCAAUCAGUUGACCCGCACCAAACUUUAAUUGGGAAGUGGAAAAUCAGAAGAAGAAUAUGGAGUGUGGACCAUCCUCGUCAUUGUUGCUCAGUAGUCCCAUAGGGAGCCUCUGUCUGUGCAGUGGUGGCAUCACUGAAGGUAUCCAAGGGCACCUUAGCAGGAGCAUGGUAGGAUCCUAGCUCUUUGCUGCAUAGACUCUGGUUUUUAUCUCUCUGUUUUUCCGAUAUAUGAACUUCCAAACAUCAUUAAAUAGAUUCUGACUAAACUAUCCAGAAUAGAUACUGUUUUUAAUAAUGGUUGAAACUAAACAUUCAUCAUUCUUUCCAUGGGAUAAUUAUAGUACUAAUCUUGCAGCUCGAAAACCAUUUUUUCCAUUAACUGUCACGUUUUGAGAUACUAGAAGAUUCUCAGGCAGAUGUAAGGAAUGAUAUCGAGAAACCACAUACCCUUUACUCAAUUUCUGCCAAUGAUAACAUUUUGCAAAACUAUAGUACAAGUGUACAACUAGAAUAUUGACAUUGAUAAAAGAGAGCAGAGGUAGAGAGCAGCUCCAUUACUAGAAGGAUCUUGCAAGUUGCCUUUUUGUAGACAAAAUUACUUUCAGCCAAUCCCACCCACUCCUUAACCCUGGGCAGUCACUAAGAUCUGUUCUGCAUUUCUAUAAUUUGGGUAUAUAAAGGAUGAUACAUAGAUUGAAUUAUGUAGUGUGUCACCUUUUGAGAUUGCCUUUCCUUUUUUUCACUCAGCAUAAUUCUCUGGAGGUUCAUCUGAGUUGUUGUGUGCAUUGAUAAUUCAUUUCUUUUCAUUGCUGAGUGCUGCUCCAUAGUGUGGAUUUCCAGUUUGUGGUAG